AGUGAACGCUGGCGGUAGGCCUAACACAUGCAAGUCGAACGGCAGCACAGUAAGAGCUUGCUCUUACGGGUGGCGAGUGGCGGACGGGUGAGGAAUACAUCGGAAUCUACUUUUUCGUGGGGGAUAGCGUAGGGAAACUUACGCUAAUACCGCAUACGACCUACGGGUGAAAGUAGGGGAUCUUCGGACCUUGCGCGAUUGAAUGAGCCGAUGUCGGAUUAGCUAGUUGGCGGGGUAAAGGCCCACCAAGGCGACGAUCCGUAGCUGGUCUGAGAGGAUGAUCAGCCACACUGGAACUGUGACACGGUCCAGACUCCUACGGGAGGCAGCAGUGGGGAAUAUUGGGCAAUGGGCGCAAGCCUGAUCCAGCCAUACCGCGUGGGUGAAGAAGGCCUUCGGGUUGUAAAGCCCUUUUGUUGGGAAAGAAAAGCAGCAGGUUAAUACCCCGCCGUUCUGACGGUACCCAAAGAAUAGGCACCGGCUAACUUCGUG
rnacentral:rRNA from 1 species